GAUGAACGCUGGCGGCGUGCCUAAUACAUGCAAGUCGAGCGAACGGACGAGAAGCUUGCUUCUCUGAUGUUAGCGGCGGACGGGUGAGUAACACGUGGAUAACCUACCUAUAAGACUGGUAUAACUUCGGGAAACCGUAGCUAAUACCGGAUAAUAUUUUGAACCGCAUGGUUCAAAAGUGAAAGACGGUCUUGCUGUCACUUAUAGAUGUAUCCGCGCUGCAUUAGCUAGUUGGUAAGGUAACGGCUUACCAAGGCAACGGUGCAUAGCCGACCUGAGAGGGUGAUCGGGCACACUGGAACUGAGACACGGUCCAGACUCCUACGGGAGGCCGCAGUAGGGACUCUUCCGAAAUGGGCGAAAGCCUGACGGAGCAACGCCGCGUGAGUGAUGAAGGUCUUCGGAUCGUAAAACUCUGUUAUUAGGGAAGAACAUAUGUGUAAGUAACUGUGCACAUCUUGACGGUACCUACUCAGAAAGCCACGGCUAACUACGUG
rnacentral:rRNA from 1 species